rnacentral:rRNA from 1 species
UACGAACUGCGCGAACGUUAUUCGGAAUCACUGGGCUUACAGGGUGCGUAGGCGGCCAUUCAGGUCCGAUGUGAAAUCCCACAGCUCAACUGUGGAAUGGCAUUGGAAACCGGGUGGCUUGAGCGAGCUAGAGAUGUACGGAACUUCCGGUGGAGCGGUGAAAUGUGUUGAGAUCGGAAGGAACACCAGAGGCGAAAGCGGUACAUUGGGGCUUGUCUGACGCUGAGGCACGAAAGCUAGGGGAGCGAAC